AUCAAUAAGCGGAGGAGAAGAAACUAACCAGGAUUCCCCCAGUAACGGCGAGCGAAGCGGGAACAGCUCGAGCAGGCAAUCUCUGGUGUUGAUCGCCAGCGAAUUGUGGCCGGUAGAGGCGGGUGCACCUGACGCGAUUCCGUCGAAGUUGACCUGGAAAGGCACGUCGGAGAGGGUGAUAGCCCCGUGCGUGGCGGAGUCGCUGAGGGACGCUACCGUCUUCAGAGAGUCGGGUUGUUUGGGAGUGCAGCCCAAAGUGGGUGGUAAACUCCAUCUAAAGCCAAAUAGCGGCACGAGACCGAUAGCGAACAAGUACCAUGAGGGAAAGGUGAAAAGCACUUUGGAAAGAGAGUUAAAGAGGCCGCGAAACCGUUGGGAGGGAAACGCAUGCAGCCGGACCGGCCCGCAUCGGGUUCACGGGGCUGCCUCGAGUCGCGUCUGUCGUCGGCACCGUAAGGGUCGGCGGUGGGUCCUGGCUCUCGGCACCCCUGCACUCUCGGUGCUUCGGGCCGGCCAAGCGCGGCGGGAUGCGGGCGACGAGCUCAGUCGGGAAGGUAGCGCAGCCACCUGGUGGAGGCGAACUUAUAGCCGACUGUGCGGAGCGUCCGGGACCCGCCGAGGAGAGCGGUGGAACUUCCACCCCGGCAGCGCAGGCCGCCUCUUGGCGGCGGGGGCUCUCUGGUUCGUUGGCGAGCCGCUCCGCGUCACUGCCUGCAGUGGCCGGAGACGGUCCGCCUCCGGGCUGGGGGUUGCUCACUCCUUGCGCUCGGGCCGCUUGGCCAGACGCCGGCUGCAUCCGA
rnacentral:rRNA from 1 species